rnacentral:rRNA from 1 species
CCUACGGGUGGCAGCAGUGAGGAAUAUUGGUCAAUGGGCGCGAGCCUGAACCAGCCAAGUAGCGUGAAGGAUGACUGCCCUACGGGUUGUAAACUUCUUUUAUAAAGGAAUAAAGUGUGGCACGUGUGCCUUUUUGUAUGUACUUUAUGAAUAAGGAUCGGCUAACUCCGUGCCAGCAGCCGCGGUAAUACGGAGGAUCCGAGCGUUAUCCAGAUUUAGUGGGUUUAAAGGGAGCGUAGGUGGGUUGUUAAGUCAGUAGUGAAAGUUUGCGGCUCAACCGUAGAAUUGCAAUUGAUACUGGCAGUCUUGAGUGCAGUUGAGGUAGGCGGAAUUCGUGGUGUAGCGGUGAAAUGCUUAGAUAUCACGAAGAACUCCGAUUGCGAAGGCAGCUUACUAAACUGCAACUGACAUUGAUGCUCGAAAGUGUGGGUAUCAAACAGGAUUAGAUACCCUUGUAGUC